rnacentral:lncRNA from 1 species
CCUAAAUGGAAUUUUGUUUCUAAGGUAUUUAUUAUAGGAUUUUUGAACUCUAUAGAUUAUUUAAGAAUAACCAACUUAUGUAGAUAAUUUCAGUUCUUGAAUAUAGAGUUCUGUUAGCACAAAGUUAAACACCAAACAAGAAGAAAUUAUAUAAUAGAAAGUGCAGUGGGCUUAGAAUCCAGAAAUUUGGUUCUCCCACUCAGUACAAGUCACCUAAUGCUUCUGAAUAUUUGCUUCUUCAUUUAUAAAUUGAGAAUAUUAAUAUCUACUGUAAACAGCAAAAACAGAGUUAAAUGAGAUAAUGUAAGGACAAAUACAAUACUGGGAAUAAAGUAAACACUCAGUAAAUGCCCGUUAACAUGAAUCUGUUUAUUUAUUAGAAAGAAGACCAGAGAGGAACACCAGAGGAAGCUUAAAGAAAGAUCCGAGCCUGGGAUUUAUGCUACUUUAUAUGGCUGAGCUAAAACUCCUUACUCUGUCCACAUCUGCUUCUGGAUGAGAACCAAUUACUUCCAAACAAUGAUACAACCUAAGGGGAAUGCAAGAAAGGACUCCAUCCAUCUUCCCCAUCUUCAGGGCCAUGUGUGUGUCUGUGUGUGUGUGUGUGUGUGUGUGUACUGGGGCAGGGGUGGAGGGCAGUAGUGAGGAGGAGGAAAGGCCAGAAAAGGAGUUGGAAAAAUAUUUUUCUUCUUUUGAUAAUUCGUUAAGUUGAAUACCAAACUGUGCAGAAAAAAAAAAAAAGCAGUUUGACUCCAGAACUUGGAAAACACACUUCCAGUAAAUUUACAAUAUUAAUUUUGCGCUGAGAGAGCAAAUCCCAAAUUCAAACCAGAUUCACAAAUUAUGAUCUCACUUUUUCCAGAGUUUCUACUGAUUAGGCUUGUUAUAGAUUAACUAGAGGUAGAAUGUAUUAAAGGGAAAGAAGAGAGAAAAAGAGAAUACCUAAACUCAGAGAAUAAAAUUUCCUGUGUUUGCUUUUUCUGCUAAUAAAUGAGACUCAAGCAAAAGAGUAUGUAUUUUCUAAGGAGAAGUGAGGGUGAAUGUGUGAGCAUUUUACAGAGGGGAUUACCAAGGGAGUCAAUCAUUUUGAGCUGGAAAGCUGUAAAGAGGGCCAGUUGUCUCAAGACAGUGCAGGGAUGAGGGUGAAUUUGGGGGUGGGGGGUCAUGGACAGACCCAGUGGUUGUAGAAUGAGCUGGGAAGAGUGUUUUUCUUUUUCUUUUUAUUUAUUUUUUGGUACAGGGAUUGAACUCAGGGGCACUCAGCCACUAAGCCAAUCCCCAGUCCUAUUUUAUAUUUUAUUUAGAGACAGGAUCUCACUGAGUUGCUUAGCACCUCACUUUUGCUGAGGCUGGCUUUGAACUUGCGAUCCUCCUGCCUUGGCCUCCCCAGCCACUGGGAUUACAGGCGUGUGCCACAGCACCCAGCUGGGAAGACUAUUUUGAAAGAUAAUUAAUAUACAUAUUGAGUAUCAGUUGUAUGUUCAAUAGCUUAAUAUGUUCAGGGGAUACAAUGAACAUAAAGCCAAGUGCCAGCAUUCUAAUUUAGAAGACAGCAAUCUGUGGGUUUAAGAGAAGAUAGAAUGAAGGCUCUGUAACCAAAGGAUUAAGAAGACUUUGACUAACAUUUGA